CAGAUGUAGAUCCCAGAUACUACAACCUUGAUAGGGUAAGGGUUAGUGUUCCCACACGGCCAUAUCUCCAUGUUACAUGGCUUAUUUAUGGAAAACAGACGGAAGACAAGAGGCGACCACCUGUACUAAUUAUCUGUCAAGAAUGCUCCAAAUACCUGUGUGAAAGCGUAACUCGGGAAGUGUAGCAGAAGUGUAGUUUCGUUGGAUGGAGGCACCCAUAGCUGUGUAGAUAAUGUGCAAGAUUGCUACAGUCUCAGCUGGCCAAGACGUGUCACGGGCGCUCCAGGGCUGUUGUGACCCAGGCCAACAUCCCGUUGUGGUUAAACGUCACUUACGACGACGACAAGAAAAAUCUCCUGGUCACCUCCAAACUGUUCAACAUGUUUGCCCAGGUGGCUACCUCACGGGGAAUAUAGAAUAUCAAUUACAUUUCCAGAUCACAGCUGCUGUUGGUUAGAAACCCUCCAUUGCCCACCGCUGCACAUGUCUUUGCGGUCAGAUUCGAAAAGGGCUGCACCUGCUCACAGUGUUCUCCCAUUCACUGACGUGAACAGCGCCAUCAAACAGAUGAGCUCAAAAGAAACCAACAUCUUUGAAGCUACGCAUUGCAAAAUGGUUCGCAGUGAUGACGUACAUCCACAUACAACACCCGUUCUGCCAGUCACGUUCUGUUAAAGGUCCCCAAAGCACACACAUCCCUGGGUCGCUCGUCUUUUCAGUUCGCUGCAGCCAGCGCC